rnacentral:lncRNA from 1 species
CUACGAUAGUAGAGGGGCAUUAUGUUUUCUGGUCUGUGCCUCCGUUCGUCCGUUCGUCCAUUCGUCCGUUCGUUCGUCCGUUCGUUCGUCCCGCUUCAGGUUAAAGUUUUUGGUCGAGGUAGUAUUUGAUGAAGUUGAAGUCCAAUCAAUUUGAAACUUAGUACACAUGUUAACUAUGAUAUGAUCUUUCUAAUUUUAAUGCCAAAUUAAAGUAUUGACCCCAAUUUCACGGUCUAGUG